rnacentral:rRNA from 1 species
UUGUCUCAAAGAUUAAGCCAUGCAUGUCUAAGUAUAAGCAACUUGUACUGUGAAACUGCGAAUGGCCCAUUAAAUCAGUUAUCGUUUAUUUGAUAGUACCUUACUACAUGGAUACCUGUGGUAAUUCUAGAGCUAAUACAUGCUAAAAACCCCGACUUCAGGAAGGGGUGUAUUUAUUAGAUAAAAAACCAACGCCCUUCGGGGCUCCUUGGUGAAUCAUAAUAACUUAACGAAUCGCAUGGCCUUGCGCCGGCGAUGGUUCAUUCAAAUUUCUGCCCUAUCAACUUUCGAUGGUAGGAUAGUGGCCUACCAUGGUGGCAACGGGUAACGGGGAAUUAGGGUUCGAUUCCGGAGAGGGAGCCUGAGAAACGGCUACCACAUCCAAGGAAGGCAGCAGGCGCGCAAAUUACCCAAUCCCGAUACGGGGAGGUAGUGACAAUAAAUACUGAUACGAGGCUCUUUUGGGUCUCGUAAUUGGAAUGAGAACAAUUUAAAUCCCUUAACGAGGAACAAUUGGAGG